UCCUACGGGAGGCAGCAGUGGGGAAUUUUGGACAAUGGGCGAAAGCCUGAUCCAGCCAUGCCGCGUGAGUGAAGAAGGCCUUCGGGUUGUAAAGCUCUUUCAGACGGAAAGAAAUCGCAUCUUCUAAUACAAGGUGUGGAUGACGGUACCGUAAGAAGAAGCACCGGCUAACUACGUGCCAGCAGCCGCGGUAAUACGUAGGGUGCGAGCGUUAAUCGGAAUUACUGGGCGUAACGCGUGCGCAGGCGGUGAUGUAAGACAGAUGUGAAAUCCCCGGGCUCAACCUGGGAACUGCGUUUGUGACUGCAUCACUCGAGUACGGCAGAGGGAGGUGGAAUUCCGCGUGUAGCGGUGAAAUGCGUAGAUAUGCGGAGGAACACCGAUGGCGAAGGCAGCCUCCUGGGCCAGUACUGACGCUCAUGCACGAAAGCGUGGGGAGCAAACAGGAUUAGAUACCCUGGUAGUCCACGCGGUAAACGAUGAGCACUAGACGCUGGGUGGGUGACCGUCCGGUGUCGUAGCUAACGCGCUAAGUGCUCCGCCUGGGGAGUACGGCCGCAAGGUUGAAACUCAAAUGAAUUGACGG
rnacentral:rRNA from 1 species